UACGUAGGAGACGAGCGUUGUCCGGAGUUACUGGGCGUAAAGGGUGCGCAGGUGGCGGCGCGCGUGGGGGGUGAAAUCGCCCGGCUUAACUGGGCGGGGGCCUUCCAGACGGCGUGGCUUGAGCAGCGGAGGGGGACGUGGAAUUCCGGGUGGAGCGGUGAAAUGCGUAGAGAUCCGGAGGAACACCGACGGCGCAGGCAGCGUCCCGGCCGCUUGCUGACACUGAGGCACGAAAGCUGGGGGAGCAAACAGG
rnacentral:rRNA from 1 species